rnacentral:rRNA from 1 species
CUAGCCUGCUCNCUGACAUAAAGUGUUAAAUAGCCGCGGUAUCUUGACCGUGCAAAGGUAGCAUAAUCAUUAGUUUCUUAAUUGGGAACUUGUAUGAAUGGUUGGACAAAGAAAAAUCUGUCUCUUGCACUGAAAUUGAAUUUAACUUCUAAGUGAAAAGGCUUAGAUUAUCCAGAGGGACGAUAAGACCCUAUAAAGCUUUAUAAAUUUAUUAAUUUCGUUUAUUUUUUAUUAUAAUAAUGAUGAUAAGAGAAUUUAUUUGGUUGGGGCAACCGAAGUAUAAUUUUAAAUAACUGCUAUAAUUUAAUACAAUGAUUUUUGUCUUAUACAAUAAUUGAUCCUCAAAGAGAUUAAAGACCAAGUUACUUUAGGGAUAACAGCGUAAUUUAUCCUGAGAGUUCUUAUCAAAGGAAAAGCUUGCGACCUCGAUGUUGAAUUAAAAUGUCUACCUAGUGCAGCAGCUAGGAAAGAAGGUCUGUUCGACCUUUAAUUUUUUACAUGAUC